rnacentral:rRNA from 1 species
GCGACGCUGGCGGCGUGCCUAAUACAUGCAAGUCGAGCGGACCGACGGGAGCUUGCUCCCUUAGGUUAGCGGCGGACGGGUGAGUAACACGUGGGUAACCUGCCUGUAAGACUGGGAUAACUCCGGGAAACCGGGGCUAAUACCGGAUGCUUGAUUGAACCGCAUGGUUCAAUUAUAAAAGGUGGCUUUUAGCUCCCACUUACAAAUGGACCCGCGGCGCAUUACCUAGUUGGUGAGGUAACGGCUCACCAAGGCAACAAUGCGUACCCAACCUGAAAGGGUGAUCGGCCACACUGGGACUGAAACACGGCCCAAACUCCUACGGGAGGCAGCAGUAGGGAAUCUUCCGCAUUGGACAAAAGUCUGACGGACCACCGCCCCGGGAGUGAUGAAGGUUUUCGAAUCGUAAAACUCUGUUG